rnacentral:rRNA from 1 species
AGUGAACGCUGGCGGUAGGCCUAACACAUGCAAGUCGAACGGCGGCACAGGAGAGCUUGCUCUCUGGGUGGCGAGUGGCGGACGGGUGAGGAAUACAUCGGAAUCUACUUUUUCGUGGGGGAUAACGUAGGGAAACUUACGCUAAUACCGCAUACGACCUACGGGUGAAAGCAGGGGACCUUCGGGCCUUGCGCGAUUGAAUGAGCCGAUGUCGGAUUAGCUAGUUGGCGGGGUAAAGGCCCACCAAGGCGACGAUCCGUAGCUGGUCUGGGAGGAUGAUCAGCCACACUGGAACUGAGACACGGUCCAGACUCCUACGGGGGGCCGCAGGGGGGAAUAUUUGACUAUGGGGGCCAGGCUGAUCCAGCCAUACCGCGUGGGGGAAGAAGGCCUUCGGGUUGGAAAGCCCUUUUGUUGGGAAAGAAAUCCAGCUGGCUAAUACCCGGUUGGGAUGACGGUACCCAAAGAAUAAGCACCGGCUAACUUCGUGCCAGCCGCCGCAGUAA